rnacentral:rRNA from 1 species
UGGGGAAUAUUGGACAAUGGGCGCAAGCCUGAUCCAGCCAUGCCGCGUGUUUGAAGAAGGCCUUUUGGUUGUAAAGCACUUUAAGCGAGGAGGAGGCUACUUGGAUUAAUACUCUAGGAUAGUGGACGUUACUCGCAGAAUAAGCACCGGCUAACUCUGUGCCAGCAGCCGCGGUAAUACAGAGGGUGCGAGCGUUAAUCGGAUUUACUGGGCGUAAAGCGUGCGUAGGCGGCUUUUUAAGUCGGAUGUGAAAUCCCUGAGCUUAACUUAGGAAUUGCAUUCGAUACUGGGAAGCUAGAGUAUGGGAGAGGAUGGUAGAAUUCCAGGUGUAGCGGUGAAAUGCGUAGAGAUCUGGAGGAAUACCGAUGGCGAAGGCAGCCAUCUGGCCUAAUACUGACGCUGAGGUACGAAAGCAUGGGGAGCAAACAGG